UUAGUUAAUUUGCUCCCUUAGGCUGCAUUUGGCUUGGGUUUAUCAAGAAAUAACAUGCAAUUUAGUCAAAUUCCAUAUGAAAUGAUACACCUGUCGAUACCAACAGCUCUUUCUUUCUGAUACAACACUAAAGAGCCUCAGUCAUCAUUUUUGAAAAUUCUACUAAGAGUAGAAAUUCCACAAUUACAAACUAUUUUUAUCUGCUUCUAAAAUGGCCAUGAGCCAGAUGCAGCCUUAACUUGCUUCUCUUGCUUCUGACUGUCCUACUAUGGUUCUUGAGAAAUUUGUAUAAUUUUCUAAUCUACUUUUGUAUCAGCAAUUUUAACAGUUCUGUGUGAUUACUGAUAUUGGAUCAUUAGGAAGUGCUACUUCAUUUUAUUGGUUCGCAUUAAAUUUUCAGUUUUACUAUGAUACAUCCAUAUGUUGUUAGUGGGCCGUAUAUUAUUGUUGGUUGAUGGACAUAUUUGGGUAAUUGUGUUCUUGCUGAAUCUUUAGUGGUUUACCAGUCUUAGAAGUAGGCAGAUAUCUAUUAGGUUACUGUGCUUGCUUGCUUUUUCUUCUUUUUUACCUUUUACUUUAGCGCAACAUCUUUGCAGAGUGGAAGUGAUGCAAUCUUCUAGUUUUCAUUGGUGGUCCAUGCGAAAUGUCAUGUUGUUGGUGAAGCUCAUCAGAAAAUUUUCACAUUACUCAUUGUCUUUGAAACAUUCUUAUUGGAAGCAUAUCCGUGGAAAAGCGAACUGCGGCUCCAUCAAAGUACCCUCUGUUGAGAUGUGGAGCUAGCUAUUGUAUCAUAUGGAUGUCAAGAAUGCCUUUCUUCAUGGAGAAAAUGUGGAGAUUUUCAUAAAUGCUUCACCUU